GAUGAACGCUAGCGGCAGGCUUAACACAUGCAAGUCGAGGGGCAGCAUGAGGGUUAGCAAUAACCCUUGAUGGCGACCGGCGCAAGGGUGCGUAACGCGUGAGCAACUUGCCCGUUUCAGGGGGAUAACCGGUGGAAACGCCGACUAAUACCCCAUGGCAUCAUUAGGAGGCAUCUCCUUCUGAUUAAAGAAUUUCGGAAACGGAUAGGCUCGCGUGACAUUAGCUAGACGGCGGGGUAACGGCCCACCGUGGCGACGAUGUCUAGGGGUUCUGAGAGGAAGGUCCCCCACACUGGAACUGAGACACGGUCCAGACUCCUACGGGAGGCAGCAGUGAGGAAUAUUGGUCAAUGGUCUGACGACUGAACCAGCCAUGCCGCGUGAAGGUCACGGCCCUAUGGGUCUUAAACUCUUUUGCAAGGGAGCAAUAAGCCUCACGUNUGGGGCGAUGAGAGUACCUUGCGAAUAAGCAUCGGCUAACUCCGUGCCAGCAG
rnacentral:rRNA from 1 species